rnacentral:rRNA from 1 species
UAGGGAAUCUUCGGCAAUGGGGGGAACCCUGACCGAGCAACGCCGCGUGAGUGAAGAAGGUUUUCGGAUCGUAAAGCUCUGUUGUUAAGGAAGAACGAGUGUGAGAAUGGAAAGUUCAUACUGUGACGGUACUUAACCAGAAAGGGACGGCUAACUACGUGCCAGCAGCCGCGGUAAUACGUAGGUCCCGAGCGUUGUCCGGAUUUAUUGGGCGUAAAGCGAGCGCAGGCGGUUAGAAAAGUCUGAAGUGAAAGGCAGUGGCUCAACCAUUGUAGGCUUUGGAAACUGUUUAACUUGAGUGCAGAAGGGGAGAGUGGAAUUCCAUGUGUAGCGGUGAAAUGCGUAGAUAUAUGGAGGAACACCGGUGGCGAAAGCGGCUCUCUGGUCUGUAACUGACGCUGAGGCUCGAAAGCGUGGGGAGCGAACAGCAUUAGAUACCCUGGUAGUCCACGCCGUAAACGAUGAGUGCUAGGUGUUAGGUCCUUUCCGGGACUUAGUGCCGCAGCUAACGCAUUAAGCACUCCGCCUGGGGAGUACGACCGCAAGGUUG